rnacentral:rRNA from 1 species
AUUGAACGCUGGCGGCAUGCCUUACACAUGCAAGUCGAACGGUAACGGGCCUUCGGGUGCCGACGAGUGGCGAACGGGUGAGUAAUACAUCGGAACGUGCCCGAUCGUGGGGGAUAACGAGGCGAAAGCUUUGCUAAUACCGCAUACGAUCUACGGAUGAAAGCAGGGGACCGCAAGGCCUUGCGCUGACGGAGCGGCCGAUGGCAGAUUAGGUAGUUGGUGGGAUAAAAGCUUACCAAGCCGACGAUCUGUAGCUGGUCUGAGAGGAUGAUCAGCCACACUGGGACUGAGACACGGCCCAGACUCCUACGGGAGGCAGCAGUGGGGAAUUUUGGACAAUGGGCGCAAGCCUGAUCCAGCCAUGCCGCGUGCAGGAUGAAGGCCUUCGGGUUGUAAACUGCUUUUGUACGGAACGAAAAGCCUUCUUUUAAUACAGGAGGGUCAUGACGGUACCGUAAGAAUAAGCACCGGCUAACUACGUG